rnacentral:lncRNA from 1 species
GGGAAGGAUCCCACUUUCAGAUUGGCUAGAUCUGCGACUGACUGAUGGCAGUCACGGCUGAGACUUGUAACAGGACCACGUCCCCUCCCUGGAUCCUUUCUGCACAUGGUGACACAGUGAGAACCUUAACUCCCAGAUCCUGACCUGGGCAGGACCCAGAAAUCUCUCUUAGGACUUGUAAAUUGUUACUCCCUUGCUAUGUAUUUCACAUUACGUUUCUGAAGAAAACCCUUUGAAGUAGGAUGAAAGCAACACAAGCCAAGCUGACACCUGCAGCUAGAGUCGCUGACAUAAAGUCACAAGCACCUGUACAAAGAGAAGCCCUACACAUCGAAAUGGGAGAGCACGAUGCUAAUUACGUGUUUACGUGGAUGAGGCAGGGUUAAAAACCCAGCUUGCUGAGUGAACAAAAGCA